rnacentral:rRNA from 2 species
GAUUCCCCUAGUAACUGCGAGUGAAGCGGGAAAAGCUCAAAUUUGAAAUCUGGCGGUCUUUGGCUGUCCGAGUUGUAAUCUAGAGAAGUGUUACCCGCGUUGGACCGUGUAUAAGUCUCCUGGAAUGGAGCGUCAUAGAGGGUGAGAAUCCCGUCUUUGACACGGACUACCAAGGCUUUGUGGUAUGCUCUCAAAGAGUCGAGUUGUUUGGGAAUGCAGCUCAAAAUGGGUGGUAAAUGCCAUCUAAAGCUAAAUAUUGGCGAGAGACCGAUAGCGAACAAGUACCGUGAGGGAAAGAUGAAAAGAACUUUGGAAAGAGAGUUAAACAGUACGUGAAAUUGCUGAAAGGGAAACGCUUAAAGUCAGUCGCGUUGGCUUGAAAUCAACCUUGCUUUUGCUGGGUGUACUUUCUAGUCGACGGGUCAACAUCAGUUUUGACCAGUGGAUAAAGUCAAUGGGAAUGUGGCUCCUUCGGGAGUGUUAUAGCCCAUAGUCGCAUACAUUGGUUGGGACUGAGGCUCUCAGCACGCCUUUAUGGCCUGGUUUCGACCAAGUUCGUGCUUAGGAUGUUGGCAUAAUGGCUUUAAUCGACCCGUCUUGAAACAC